rnacentral:lncRNA from 1 species
AAAAUGUUCGUAUCCACUUGCAGCAGCCUCUUGGUGCAUUUCGGGAAACGAGAAGGAGCCAUGAUGAAAGAUGGCUUUGACCCAUUUGAAGACUUUCAGCCAGAAAAUGUGCUUUGUACUAGGAGCUGGAGGAACGGCAUUGCCACCACACCAUACCCCUUCUUGAUGGAAUAGCCACAGCCAGAAACCUCCCUCUGUCCCUUCCCACAUGCCUUGAAGGCCGUGUGUUGGGACUGGUGGUUCCCCAAGAUGGAAGGAGCCAGAUCUUUGAACAACUGUGUAUAGCAGAGCCUGCCCCAAUCUCCAACCACAUAAGUAUGUGACAUAAGUGAGCAAUACACUUUUAUUGUGAUAAGCCACUGAGACUUCAGGAUUUCUUUAUAUUUGCAGCCUAGCCUUGCCUACCCAGAUAGAGGUGCCAGAUGGAUGACCUACAAGCCAGAUGUGUUUGGCUUUAAUGAUUAAAAAAUUGGAAUGUAAGUGCUCUACAGAGCAUGCUUGCUCCAGUUUGCCACAACCCUCACCACUCCUUAUUGAUUUUUACCCAGCCACUUCACACAUUUACCUGCCUAAGUCCGUGAAACAUUUGAGUUUGCAAGCCUGAAAAGCUCUGGAUCAAAAUCGCUUUUUGAUUAAUGCUUCGACUCUGUGUUGUCUCAUCCUGUGACAUGCUCAGGAAGAUAGCAGAAACUCAUGCAAGUAAAUUGAGUAGCAUUGUCUAUUGAGGUUGGGUGCAGAUAGCUUAGGUUUAAAACAUGCAUUGUGGGCUGGGCAUGGUGGCUUACGCCUGUAAUCCCAGCACUUUGGGAAGCCGAGGUGGACAGAUCACCUGAGGUCAGGAGUUCAAGACCAGCCUGACUAACAUGGUGAAACCCCGUCUUUACUAAAAAUACAAAAAUUUAGCCAGG